UUUGCUGUUCCCGGCCGCCAGGCCCCGGGAUUAUUUAUCCUGCUUCAGAUGAACCCUGGGCCAUGCUUACCCAUUCAAUUGGACGGUAACAGUUAAGCUGACCGAGUGGCGAACGGGUGAUAAUUCAUCGGAACGUGCCCCGUCGUGGGGAUACCGCAGCGAAAAGCUGCCCUAAUCCCCCCAUACGAUCUGAGGAUGAAAGCGGGGACCGUAAGCCCUCGCGCGAUCGGAGCGGCCGAUGUCAGAUUAGGUAGUUGGUGGGGUAAAGGCUCACCAAGCCGACGAUCUGUAGCUGGUCUGAGAGGACGACCAGCCACACCUGGGACUGAGACACGGCCCAGACUCCCUACGGGAGGCAGCAGUGGGGAAUUUUGGACAAUGGGCGCAAGCCUGAUCCAGCAAUGCCGCGUGCAGGAAGAAGGCCUUCGGGUUGUAAACUGCUUUUGUACGGAGCGAAAAGGCUUUCUCUAAUACGGGAGGCUGAUGACGGUACCGUAAGAAUAAGCACCGGCUAACUACGUGCCAGCAGCCGCGGUAAUACGUAGGGUGCGAGCGUUAAUCGGAAUUACUGGGCGUAAAGCGUGCGCAGGCGGUUUUGUAAGACAGGCCGUGAAAUCCCCGGGCUCAACCUGGGAAUGGCGCUUGUGACUGCAAAGCUGGAGUGCGGCAGAGGGGGAUGGAAUUCCGCGUGUAGCAGUGAAAUGCGUAGAUAUGCGGAGGAACACCGAUGGCGAAGGCAAUCCCCUGGGCCUGCACUGACGCUCAUGCACGAAAGCGUGGGGAGCAUACAGGAUUAGAUACCCUGGUAGUCCAAUC
rnacentral:rRNA from 1 species